AACUAGCCCCGAUAGUAGUGAAAAUCCUUUUAUGUUUUUUCUUUAAAAACAUAAAAGAUUACUUCGUCAGUUCGCUAUCGCUCGUGUGUAGCGGAUAGCGGGAAACAGC
rnacentral:misc_RNA from 1 species